CUGGCGGUGAAGGCCCACUGCUCGGUCUCGCCGGUCAGGACGCCGUUGCCGAAGUGGUCGCCGUCGGCGAGCACGUCGAGCACGGUCUGGUUGCCGUACUCGCCCUCGCCGAUCUUGUCGACCUUGCCGUGCGCGACGAGGAAGAGCUCCUCGGCGCGGUCGCCGCGCUGCACCAGCAGGUCGCCGGGGGUGAACUCGCGCUGCACGAACCGGUUCGCGAGCGCGGUCAGCACGUCGUCGUCCUCGAAGGCGCGCAGCGCGGGCACCUCGCGCAGCUCCUGCGGGAUGACGCGGAUGUCGGAACCGGUGCUGGUGAAGGUGAUCCGCCCGUCGCCGACGGCGUAGGUGAGCCUGCGGUUGACCCGGUACGUGCCCGCCUGGGUCUGCACCCAGGGCAGCUCGCGCAGCAGCCAGCGGGCCGAGAUGGCCUGCAUCUGCGGGGCGGACUUGGUCGUGGUGGCCAGGUUGCGGGCGGCGGCGGUGCCCAGGCUCUG
rnacentral:antisense_RNA from 1 species